rnacentral:rRNA from 1 species
UUGGGAAGUCCUCGUGUUGCACUCCC